UACAGAGGGUGCGAGCGUUAAUCGGAAUUACUGGGCGUAAAGCGUGCGUAGACGGUCAUGUAAGUCGGGUGUGAAAGCCCCGGGCUCAACCUGGGAAUUGCAUUCGAGACUGCAUGGCUAGGGUGCGGAAGAGGGAAGCGGAAUUUCCGGUGUAGCGGUGAAAUGCGUAGAUAUCGGAAGGAACACCAGUGGCGAAAGCGGCUUCCUGGUCCGACACCGACGUUCAGGCACGAAAGCGUGGGGAGCAAACAGG
rnacentral:rRNA from 1 species